rnacentral:rRNA from 1 species
UACGUAGGGGCCGAGCGUUGUCCGGAGUUAUUGGGCGUAAAGCGCGCGCAGGCGGCCUCGCGCGCCCGACGUGAAAGCCCCCGGCUUAACCGGGGAGGGUCGUUGGGGACGGCGGGGCUUGAGGGCGGGAGAGGUCGGUGGAAUUCCCGGUGUAGUGGUGAAAUGCGUAGAGAUCGGGAGGAACACCUGUGGCGAAGGCGGCCGACUGGGCCGACCCUGACGCUGAGGCGCGAAGGCGUGGGGGAGCGAACAGG